rnacentral:tRNA from 1 species
GGGCAUAGCUCAGUCGGUUAGAGCGUCGGUCUGUGGCACCGAAGGUCGCGGGUUCAAAUCCCGUUGCUACCCA